AAAUUGAAGAGUUUGAUCAUGGCUCAGAUUGAACGCUGGCGGCAGGCCUAACACAUGCAAGUCGAACGGUAACAGGAAGCAGCUUGCUGCUUUGCUGACGAGUGGCGGACGGGUGAGUAAUGUCUGGGAAACUGCCUGAUGGAGGGGGAUAACUACUGGAAACGGUGGCUAAUACCGCAUAACGUCGCAAGACCAAAGAGGGGGACCUUCAGGCCUCUUGCCAUCAGAUGUGCCCAGAUGGGAUUA
rnacentral:rRNA from 1 species